rnacentral:tRNA from 4 species
GGGCCGUUAGCUCAGUUGGUAGAGCAGUUGGCUUUUAACCAAUUGGUCGUGCGUUCGAGUCGCACACGGCCCACCA